rnacentral:rRNA from 1 species
UCAGCAGGCGCGAAAACUUUGCAAUGCGGGAAACCGUGACAGGGGAACUCCGAGUGCCCGUAAAAUCGGGCUGUCCAUCAGUUUAAAUAACUGGUGAAGAAAGGGCCGGGCAAGACCGGUGCCAGCCGCCGCGGUAAUACCGGCGGCUCGAGUGGUGGCCACUAUUACUGGGCUUAAAGCGUUCGUAGCUGGUUUGUUAAGUCUCUGGGGAAAUCUUCCGGCUCAACCGGAAGGCGUUUCAGGGAUACUGGCAGACUAGGGACCGGGAGAGGUGAGGGGUACUCCAGGGGUAGGAGUGAAAUCCUGUAAUCCA